rnacentral:rRNA from 1 species
UACGGAGGGAGCUAGCGUUGUUCGGAAAUACUGGGCGUAAAGCGCACGUAGGCGGCGCAGCAAGUCAGGGGUGAAAUCCCGGGGCUCAACCCCGGAACUGCCCUUGAAACUGCAGUGCUAGAAUUCUGGAGAGGCGAGUGGAAUUCCGAGUGUAGAGGUGAAAUUCGUAGAUAUUCGGAAGGACACCAGUGGCGAAGGCGACUCGCUGGACAGACAUUGACGCUGAGGUGCGAAAGCGUGGGGAGCAAACAGG